CAAAGUAUAGCAUAAUUAAUGCAUUUUGCUUACACCAAAAAAAUGGUAAAUAUCCUUCUUUGA
rnacentral:tRNA from 1 species